ACCCUUUUAGUAUAAACAGUACAAUUGACUUCCAAUCAAUUAGCUUCGGUCUAACCCGAAAAAGAGUA
rnacentral:tRNA from 1 species